UAUGAAAUCGAAAAGAUGCGAGAAAUAAUAUUAUAAAUGUAAUAUUAUAGACGAACGAAACGAGCACGGAGCCAACGUAAAAUAUAAACACGGAGCUAAAGCGAAAUGUAAACACGUUUACUUCCACUUAAUUGAUUCGUGGGAAAGUCAAGUCGACAAUAUUCGUAACCUUCAGAGUUCAGUUACUGUUUGGAUACCGAAGGAGAACGACGUACGCAGUAACUUCUAACGCGUAUAACGAAUCGAACCCAGCUUAACAAUCUUCGAUUUCGUCCAAUACACGAAUAUAAUAUAUCUCUCUUUCUCCUCCUACAUUCCAUCACAAGCAUCCUUCUUCCUCAUCCUGCACACGAACGACAAAAUCCCCAAACCCCUUCGUCUUCAUUUACCAAUGGACCAACAUUGAUCCUCGUUCUUCUUAUUGUCGCGUGACGGUGCUAACUUAAACGAAGCAAAGGAUGGCGCAGCCUUCUUUAUUUAUCGAACGUAGUCGUGAAAAAGUUGGAGGAGAGAGGCUCGACCCCAGUUUGGAGGAGCGAGCAAACAUCAAGUUCCAGUUAAUUUCGGUUGGGAACAGGACCGAUUACUUUCAAUUGGAAAUGAAUUUAUAGGUGCGGCUUUAUUCUUCUCUCCUCGUUACCAACAAGAAUGAUGGAUCAAGAUAUCAUGCUGGUUUAAAUCAAAGAAUCAGAAAAGACAUUUGAAGACUUGGAAUAAAAUAUCAAUAAUCUCAUUACAAACAAUAUAUGUAAAUUUAAAAGCUCCAAGCUUCAUCAUAAUUAAUCAAUCAUUUCACUUAUUUUAUAAUCACAUUUUCCUCGAAAAAAAGGUAGAUGAAACGGUGAGGUUCCUCUUUUCGAGCGAUAAAAUCCGGCUGGAAAAACGAGCAAUGGAACGAGGACGGAGAAAUAAAAAUAAAAAAAAAAAAAAAAAGGUACAUCUAUACGGUUCGAGUCACAGGAAAAAGGUGCAUUAAUCUGGCCGUGGCGUGAAUCCGUAACAAAUGGCGCGUAUCGUUUGUUGGCUCCGAUCACAUUACUACACCGAGGGGAGGGGAGGAGGGGGGGGUGGUGGCCUGUUCCACCGGUAAUUAACAGGUAAUUAUUUAUAAUGGAACAAUGGAAUUUAAAUUAAUAGUUUAGUUUCAUUAAUAACACCGCGUAAUUUCGCCCCUCCACCAGCGGCCGUGGUGUCAGUGUUAAAUAAAAUAUAUGCACCGGUGUGAACCCGACGCCGCAUUACCGGCGUCCCGGGUAAUGCGCGUGCCGCUGCACCGUGCGAAACACCGACGUACGGGCCGGCGUACACCUCUGCCCAUCGUUCGUGCUGCACCCUCUCGAACGCCGGCCGACACCGAACUCCCCCCCACUCCACUCCAUCCCACCCCACCCCGCCUCCGCCCCGGCUGACGCAUACGCCCUGGCCGGGAUAUAACCACUCUACGUCACGUCUGUUAUAAACGCGUAAACACGUGCUGGUGUACCCGUGGAACCAGGUUGUCCACUAUCAAGUAAAUAAUGGCGCAUUAAGCUUUUUCAUUCGUAUUCAGAUAUGUGCGGUUCAGUUUCCGCCCGUGCGAAUACCGUGCGCCUGCCCCGCCACGUGUGCGUUCCUGCACGUGGAAUCGCGCCCCCUCUCUCUCUCUCUCUCAACCCCCUCGCAAUUGCGCGCCAGCAGGUUGUUGAAGGUGGCACCUGGAGAGAGAGAGAGGUUUGAGAGGGGCAUUUGAAGAUCCGUCGCGUGGGACUCGCGAAAUUUUAAUUUAGUUAUUCUGUGAUAUUGUUGAUACGAUUAGUUUGUGUAUGAUUUUUAAUGGAAUUAUUUUUCGAAAUUGUCAUAUUCAGUAUGACAUUAUUAACAAAAAGUAUCUUUCUCGAGAUCGAAAAUCGCGAGUAAAGAAAGUACGAGGUGGGUAUCCGCGCAAGUUAAUUACGCGUGAGUGAAUUCAUGGACGAGGGGAUAAAUCGAAAAAUGGUGUUCCGGCUGCGAGUCAAUCCGCGCAGAGGCGUAUCGGUCGGUAUACGGCUCCAUUUGGUUAAUUCAUUCGCAUAUUAGAGCUCUAUAUCACGAGAGGAGUCCUCGCCGUGGCAGCCGCGAGACCACGCUUGCUCGGCCAAGAUGUCUGCUGCUCGCCCCUUCCCUGUGUGUGUGUGUGUGUAUAGCGUGCACACACGACGAGCCUUCUUGGCCAACGCGCAUACCUCGGCUCACCUUCCACUACGUGUCGUUUGUACCGUUUGACGCUCGGAAGAUUAACUACGAGCACGUAGCCUCAUCUGUCUAUCUCACAGCGUGUAAUCGCAUGUACGCGACUAAGUGCAUCGCAAGAGUAAUCAGCAGCGGCCGGGCCCGACGCGGCUUUGAUUAAUUGAAUCCGCCCUAAGAGACGAGCGCGAGCUUUAUACCUGCUGGCACGCACGCAUUGCCACCGUUCGUUCAUUCACGGACGUUUCACGGCCGGCCUCGCGGUUAAUUAUACAUCAUAGCCUGGCAAUCGUUUCUUACGAUUAUAUUUCGGUCCAAUCACGCUCUCGAUUCAACCUUUUCUUUUCACCGUUUAACCGAUUGCUAUCGAAUUUUUCGAAAGGAUAAUUGUCGGUUAUCGAUCAUUCGAGAACCUCGAUACGGUAUUAAUAUUAAUAUUAAUAUUAAAAUCGCAACGCGGUUGAAAAUUUAGAAAUACGAAAAUCGGUCGGUAUUUGAGAAAAUUUUAAUUUACCAUUUCUUAAGAUGGAUCUCGAAAAGUAAAUAUAAAUUAUAAGCGAGGAUUAAAAAUAAUUGAAAUUACUUGCCCACAAAGAACGAUCCUGAAAUAUCAGGCGGAAGCGGCGUCCAUCCUUUGGUAUUUAUUUACCCGCGCGUUACUUCUCGCGUUAAAUGUAGCAUUUGUGCUCUGUUCGUUCCGUGCCUACCACGGGUGCUUUUGCAUCCACACCUACGCGUAAAAUAUACACGUAUAUUUUUCGAUGUCCUCAUCAAUUAAGGCAAUAUUUUGAUCGGGCAGGAAGCCGCGGCGAAAUCCUACGCGGGAUUAAUUAAUAGUAGGCCGUUAAUAAUUUACGCAUCGCACACGUAAACGCGCGCGCGCGCGCACGAUUGUCGAUAAAUUCGAAAGCGCGCACGAGGUACAAUUACACGCUCAAGCGGAACCACUUUAAAUCGUCAGAGCGCGCGACGAUCGUCGAUACGCGAGGAACAUAGAGGAUGCGGAGACGCGUCGUACAUACUGAAAAGUCGAAACGUGAUUAACGUAGGCCUGGCACACGCUCGAUUCCUCGGCGUGCAUGGCCGAUCAGGAAAUCACGAUCGGGAAUACCUGAUGGUGUGUGAAGUGGUUUUCGCCCGUAGCGCCGACGAGAUUAUCGAACGAGAUAUGGAACGAUCGGUGUAGACAGCGAUCUGGUUUGUCAACAAAGUUUGUCCGAACGGAGAUAAGCGGUCCGAGCGAAGGACGACUCCCCUUGCCCCUCUGCCGUCCAGCUGGACUUUUUGCCAGAAGUAAACACAACACCUCCUUCGCCAACGAUAUAUCCCAACGAAACGAAACGAAAUUCAGCCUGAACGAUACGCGAGGAGGAAAAACUCGGCUGGAAAUUACCGGCGAGUCGAAAGAUCGGGAAAGGAGAAAGGAGAAAGGAGAGGAAGAGGGAAAGAGGCGGAGAUCCCGACCCAAAUCCGAGAGACGAGAAAACUUGGCUCGUCGAUCAGUCGGCGGAAGGAAGGAAGGAAGUUCCGAUCCACAAAAUUUUCAAACUCCACGUUUCUCGAAAAAACUCUGUCCCACGAACAACCUCGCAUUCCCAAGAUGUGGAGAAUCUCGUCGUAAAGAAUCCAAGCCUUGAUACGUCUCGAACAACGCCUCCUCUAAAUCAUUUUCCCAACAAGUCCGGGCAAGGAAAUAUUCGUUCCUUCCACGAAAAGGGGAGGAGGAGGAGGAGGAGAAGGGAAGCACCCUCCCGCCCGAGCGUCGUUUCGGCGUCGCGCUGUAUCUCGAUCCGGCCAUCAGCAUUUUCCAACUUGUCUCACGAAUUCCCUACCGCGUGCUCCCUGACGUAAGUAACAACAUAUAUAAAAGUAAGUGACUCGACUCUCUCGCGAGGCGGUGGUGAUGCAGGGCCCCGGCUAUCUGCGGAGUCUAUCGGGCAGUAAACAGCGAGCGGCAGAUAAGGCGGGAGAUAUAUUAUAGACUGGCCUUUGGUACACGAGACGUGGAACUGCUAGCGGUGGUGCUAGAAGUGAACCAGAAGGGAUAGCCAACACUUUUGCUUCUAGGAUACGUGCCGCUAGCCAGUCUAGGGCCUCUCUCUCUUGUCCUGUUCUAUAUAUAUAUAUAUAUAUAUAUGUACGUAUUUUUUCUUGCUUCUUUUCCACCGAUUCCUCCUUUUCUUUUCUUUUUUUCUUUCUCUCGUUCGAGCUGGUAUAAAAACGCCAACCGGCGUCUGAAUAGUCGCACGGAGGACGGAAGUCAGUUUGCAAGCCAAGCAUGGGGCGGUGGCGCCGAGCUACCCCUUAUUUUCCUCACUUCGAACUAGCAUCUACCAUUUUCUUUUUUUCUCUCUCUUUAUUCUUGUUUCGAUGUAGCUAUAUAACGAUGUUCUUUUUUCCUGUUCUCUCGCAUUCCUCUCUUCAAUUACGUAUUCGUUUUUUUCAUUCUCCUUAUCAAGUAAUUCUUUCUUAUUUCGUAUUUUUUGUUCCUUCUAUCUUUUUAUUACUUCUCCUUUCGUACUUUUCUUUCGCUCCUCCACAAUUUCUUUCUCUCUCUCUCGAUGCUGGGAUCGUAUAUAUCUUUUUUCUCCUUUCUCCUUCGUAUUACAUUAAGGGUCUUUCUUCUCUCUCUCUCUCCUCGAACUCUCGAUGCCUAGAAUGCUCGAACGCCACGAUGCAUCACCGUUGCCGAUACACCUUUUCUCCCUCCUCCUCUCGCUCAUACUCGGUUCGACGCUUCCCUCUCUGUCUCGCUCUCGGUGGACCUCGAUAUCGUUUCGUCUCCCUCCCCUCCACCCCCUAUCUUUCUUCGCCGGAGAGACGAACGCGUUGUAUUCGCGCCGCGUUUUCGUCCCUCCACCAGGAAAAUUUCUUCUGGUUUCGAUUUUUGGCAAGCUGCCCUACCCUCGAGCGUUGCAAUUUUCGCCGUGUUUUUUUUUACGAGUUUCUUUUUCCGUACGAUAGGAAUAUCCGCCCGUGCGAAAGUAACGUGUAACCAAGAAAAUUCUAUUUAUUACGUAAAAGUAGAAUUGGCAAAAUAAAUUGUUCGUCUCGAUACUUUCUUUUUUUAUCGUGAUGCUAUAGUAAUGUGACAAUCCUCGUUACGUUUUUUUUUACGAUUAUAACUCGAAAAAUAAAAUAUAUCCCGCCAAUCAUCUCGGGACGAUGAUUCACGAUAAUAAAAGACGUCAGAUGAGGCGUUUUCUCGCUCGACUCGACACACAGGGGAGCAGGUUGAAAAAUAAGCGGAAUUUUGCUCGCCCCUACUCGCGGCGGCGGGGAGGAUCCGCGGCGGAUUGCGAAACAAAAGGCGCGAUAAUUGUAGUCGGCCCCAGGGGGAGGGGAGUCGAGGGUUAUAGGACGCGGGCGUAAUAAACUCGGAAGAAGCAGCGGCACGUUAAUUCGUAAUCGCUUUUGCGGUCGGCUGAUGGUCGCGCCUCCGUCGGGUUUGCUUCCCGACCAAACAACGUUGCGGAAAAGGAGAGAAGAGGAGGGGAGGGGAGAGGAGAGGCGAUCAAGGGGGAACGCGUGCAGAUCGGAUACCGAGGGUGGUAUAUCUGACAACGGUGUAAUAACUCGCCGGCUGACGAGGGAAUAAAGGCCAACCCUUUCGCCUUUCGGGGUGGGGCCGUGACGAAAUUCGAUUCCGACGGCGGCGUAGCCUCCUCUCUCUCUCUCUUGAGCGGCCAUCUUUUCGUCACUCGCUUCUUCUUUCGUAUGUCGAUAAUAAAGCGUGUCACAAAAUUAACGCAAGAUUCGAAUUUUUUAAAAUUAUUUUUAAAAUAUUGUU